rfam:Allomyces macrogynus ATCC 38327 genomic scaffold supercont3.14, whole genome shotgun sequence.
GGUCCCAUAGUGUAGUGGUUAGCACUCUGGACUUUGAAUCCAGCAACCUGAGUUCGAAUCUCAGUGGGACCG